UACGGAGGGUGCAAGCGUUAUCCGGAUUCACUGGGUUUAAAGGGUGCGUAGGCGGGUUGGUAAGUCCGUGGUGAAAUCUCCGAGCUUAACUCGGAAACUGCCGUGGAUACUAUCAAUCUUGAAUAUCGUGGAGGUAAGCGGAAUAUGUCAUGUAGCGGUGAAAUGCUUAGAGAUGACAUAGAACACCAAUUGCGUAGGCAGCUUACUACACGAUCAUUGACGCUGAGGCGCGAAAGCCAGGGGAGCAAACGGG
rnacentral:rRNA from 1 species